ACGGGUGAGUAAUAUAUCGGAACGUACCUUUGAGUGGGGGAUAACUAGUCGAAAGAUUAGCUAAUACCGCAUACGAUCUACGGAUGAAAGUGGGGGAUCGCAAGACCUCAUGCUCAUAGAGCGGCCGAUAUCUGAUUAGCUAGUUGGUGAGGUAAAGGCUCACCAAGGCUUCGAUCAGUAGCUGGUCUGAGAGGACGACCAGCCACACUGGGACUGAGACACGGCCCAGACUCCUACGGGAGGCAGCAGUGGGGAAUUUUGGACAAUGGGGGCAACCCUGAUCCAGCAAUGCCGCGUGAGUGAAGAAGGCCUUCGGGUUGUAAAGCUCUUUUGUCAGGGAAGAAACGGGGUGUCCUAAUACGACGCCCUAAUGACGGUACCUGAAGAAUAAGCACCGGCUAACUACGUGCCAGCAGCCGCGGUAAUACGUAGGGUGCAAGCGUUAAUCGGAAUUACUGGGCGUAAAGCGUGCGCAGGCGGUUAUGUAAGACAGGUGUGAAAUCCCCGGGCUUAACCUGGGAAUGGCAUUUGUGACUGCAUAGCUAGAGUGUGUCAGAGGGGGGUAGAAUUCCACGUGUAGCAGUG
rnacentral:rRNA from 1 species